rnacentral:rRNA from 1 species
GAUGAACGCUGGCGGCGUGCCUAAUACAUGCAAGUCGAACGAAACUUCUUUAUCACCGAGUGCUUGCACUCACCGAUAAAGAGUUGAGUGGCGAACGGGUGAGUAACACGUGGGCAACCUGCCCAAAAGAGGGGGAUAACACUUGGAAACAGGUGCUAAUACCGCAUAACCAUAGUUACCGCAUGGUAACUAUGUAAAAGGUGGCUAUACUACCGCUUUUGGAUGGGCCCGCGGCGCAUUAGCUAGUUGGUAGGGUAAAGGCUUACCAAGGCAAUGAUGCGUAGCCGAAUUGAGAGGUUGAUCGGCCACAUUGGGACUAAGACACGGCCCAAACUCCUACGGGAGGCAGCAGUAGGGAAUCUUCCACAAUGGGCGAAAGCCUGAUGGAGCAACGCCGCGUGGGUGAAGAAGGUCUUCGGAUCGUAAAACCCUGUUGUUAGAGAAGAAAGUGCGUGAGAGUAACUGUUCACGUUUCGACGGUAUCUAACCAGAAAGCCACGGCUAACUACGUG